rnacentral:rRNA from 1 species
UAAUUGAAGAGUUUGAUCAUGGCUCAGAUUGAACGCUGGCGGCAGGCCUAACACAUGCAAGUCGAGCGGUAGCACAGAGGAGCUUGCU